rnacentral:rRNA from 1 species
CUUAACCGCGGACGUGCCUUUGAAACUGCUGCUCUUGAGUCCCGGAGAGGUUGCCGGAAUUCGUGGUGUAGCGGUGAAAUGCGUAGAUAUCACGAGGAACACCAGAGGCGAAAGCGGGCAACUGGACGGGUACUGACACUGAGGCACGAAAGCGUGGGGAGCAAACAGGAUUAGAUACCCUGGUAGUCCGCGCCGUAAACGAUGAAUGCUCGCCGUUGCCUCGUUAGGGGGCAGUGGCUAAGCUAACGCGUUAAGCAUUCCGCCUGGGGAGUACGAUCGCAAGGUUGAAACUCAAAGGAAUUGACGGGGGCCCGCACAAGCGGUGGAGCAUGUGGCUUAAUUCGAUGCAACGCGAAGAACCUUACCUAGGCUCGAACGCUAGGCGACCGCUCCUGAAAGGGAGCUUUCCGCAAGGACGC